rnacentral:lncRNA from 1 species
ACCUUUCCCAGCAAGGGCUCGUGGCCACAAACCAGCAGGAAGCAGCGUGUCCUCUCUUUGUAAGCCGUGCUAUUUAUUAGCUUGAGCCUCAUACAAACUUCUUUUGAUGAAACUCCAUGUGGCGUGAUUGAGAAGGACUUUUUACAUGACCAUAAGUUCAGCUGAUAUAAAAAUUCAAGGGGAUAAGGGACAGAUGCUCAGGCAUAUUACGUUGACCUAACGUUGGGCACAGGUGGGACAGGAACAGUCCUGGUGAGAAGAGGGGAGCAAUGGACCAAACCUGAGAGUCUCUGGUGCACAAACAGGAGAAGACAAAAGAAGGGAUCUGCUCCCAGAGCACUGAAACCUGGGAAACAGCAGUGAAGUAACUGUCACUUUACACAAUGCCUAAGUGGAUUUGAUCUUAAGGAUCACUCACACCUGAGAGUCA